rnacentral:rRNA from 1 species
UACGGAGGGUGCGAGCGUUGUCCGGAAUCACUGGGCGUAAAGGGCGCGUAGGCGGCCUGAUAAGUAGGGGGUGAAAUCCUGCGGCUUAACCGCAGGGCUGCCUUCUAAACUGUCAGGCUAGAGCACAGUAGAGGCAGGUGGAAUUCCACGUGUAGCGGUGAAAUGCGUAGAGAUGUGGAGGAACACCGAUGGCGAAGGCAGCCUUCUGGGCCAACACUGACGCUCAUGCACGAAAGCGUGGGGAGCAAACAGG